AACGGAGGCGCUCAAAGGUUCCCUCAGAAUGGUUGGAAAUCAUUCAUAGAGUGUAAAGGCAUAAGGGAGCUUGACUGCGAGACCUACAAGUCGAGCAGGGUCGAAAGACGGACUUAGUGAUCCGGUGGUUCCGCAUGGAAGGGCCAUCGCUCAACGGAUAAAAGCUACCCCGGGGAUAACAGGCUUAUCUCCCCCAAGAGUUCACAUCGACGGGGAGGUUUGGCACCUCGAUGUCGGCUCAUCGCAUCCUGGGGCUGUAGUCGGUCCCAAGGGGUGGGCUGUUCGCCCAUUAAAGCGGUACGCGAG
rnacentral:rRNA from 1 species